rnacentral:rRNA from 1 species
CCCAGACUCCUACGGGAGGCAGCAGUGAGGAAUAUUGGUCAAUGGCCGAGAGGCUGAACCAGCCAAGUCGCGUGAGGGAUGACGGUCCUAUGGAUUGUAAACCUCUUUUGUCGGGGAGCAAGGCCCGCCACGUGUGGCGGGAAGGAGAGUACCCGAAGAAAAAGCAUCGGCUAACUCCGUGCCAGCAGCCGCGGUAAAACGGAGGAUGCGAGGGUUAUCCGGAUUUAUUGGGUUUAAAGGGUGCGUAGGCGGGCUUUUAAGUCAGCGGUAAAAAUUCGGGGCUCAACCCCGUCCGGCCGUUGAAACUGGGGGCCUUGAGUGGGCGAGAAGAAGGCGGAAUGCGUGGUGUAGCGGUGAAAUGCAUAGAUAUCACGCAGAACCCCGAUUGCGAAGGCAGCCUUCCGGCGCCCUACUGACGCUGAGGCACGAAAGUGCGGGGAUCGAACAGGAUUAGAUACCCCCGUAUA